AGUUUAAGUUAGGUAAUCGUCAGUUGUUUACAAAUAAUUUUAAGAUAAAUUUUUUAAAUUUAUAGAGUAAUAGAGUAAUAAAUUCAUAAAAAAUUUAUAAAUGAAAGAGUGAUGUAAAUUUUACAAUAUUAUAUCAUUUAAAAUUAUUUUCACAUAUAAAUUUAAUAAAAAAAUUGUAAAGUGCAAAAUUAAUUUUUCUACUAUAGAAAAUAAUUCGAAAUGAGCAAAUUGUAUUCAUAAUUUUCAAUAUGGUUAAUGGAGAAGAAAUUAAAAUUACUUUCAAAGUAGUGUACGCUUUAUUAUGGAUAUUUUUUACAAGUUAUUAUUUUUGGGGUGCAAAUGAAGUAACUGUAACAGCUCCCAUUGAUGAAUCUGGUUGGGUACCAGAUGGAGCAUUUGCAAGCACAAUUCCUGCUCAAGCUGAACAAGUAGAAGAAAGUUAAUAUUAUAAAAGUAAAGUAAAAUAUUAUAAAGUUAAUAUUAUAUUAUAAACAUUGUAUAAAAAAAUUAUAACUAUUAAAUUUUAAUUGUUUAUUUUUGAUAUAAUAAAUGAUAUUAUACAAUUAUAAA